rnacentral:rRNA from 1 species
UCCGUAGGUGGCAUGCGUUGUCCGGAAUCAUUGGGCGUAAAGCGCGUGUAGGCGGCUCGAUAAGUCUGCUGUGAAAGUCCAGGGCUCAACCCUGGGAUGCCGGUGGAUACUGUCGAGCUCGAGUCCGGAAGAGGCGAGUGGAAUUCCUGGUGUAGCGGUGAAAUGCGCAGAUAUCAGGAGGAACACCGAUGGCGAAGGCAGCUCGCUGGGACGUGACUGACGCUGAGACGCGAAAGCGUGGGGAGCAAACAGG